rnacentral:rRNA from 1 species
UUCGCAAUGCCCGAAAGGGUGACGAAGCGACGCCGCGUGUGGGAAGAAGGCCUUCGGGUUGUAAACCACUGUCGGGAGUUAGGAAAUGCAGGUGCGUUAAUAGCGCACUUGCUUGACUAAGGCUCCAGAGGAAGCCACGGCUAACUCUGUGCCAGCAGCCGCGGUAAUACAGAGGCGGCAAGCGUUGUUCGGAAUUAUUGGGCGUAAAGAGCACGUAGGCGGCCUUGCAAGUCAGUUGUGAAUCCCUUCCGCUUAACGGAAGAACGGCAUCUGAUACUACAGGGCUUGAGUACGGGAGGGGAGAGUGGAACUUCUGGUGGAGCGGUGAAAUGCGUAGAUAUCAGAAGGAACGCCGGCGGCGAAAGCGACUCUCUGGUCCGAAACUGACGCUGAGUGUGCGAAAGCUAGGGGAGCAAACGGGAUUAGAUACCCCGGUAGUCCUAGCCGUAAACGAUGGGCACUAAGUAGAGGGGUUUU